rnacentral:rRNA from 1 species
UACGAAGGGGGCUAGCGUUGCUCGGAUUGACUGGGCGUAAAGGGCGCGUAGGCGGGUCGUACAGUCAGACGUGAAAUUCCUGGGCUCAACCUGGGGGCUGCGUUUGAUACGUGCGGACUUGAGUGCGGAAGAGGGUCGUGGAAUUCCCAGUGUAGAGGUGAAAUUCGUAGAUAUUGGGAAGAACACCGGUGGCGAAGGCGGCGACCUGGUCCGAUACUGACGCUGAGGCGCGAAAGCGUGGGGAGCAAACAGG